rnacentral:rRNA from 1 species
CACACCGCCCGUCACACCAUAGGAGUUUGUUGCACCAGAAGCAGGUAGCUUAACCGCAAGGGGGGCGCUUGCCACGGUGUGGCCGAUGACUGGGGUG